rnacentral:rRNA from 1 species
UAGGAUUGUAAACUCCUGUCAUUGGGGAGUAAGACUUAAGCGUUAAGAGCGUUUAAGUUUGAUAGUACCCAAAGAGGAAGGGACGGCUAACUUCGUGCCAGCAGCCGCGGUAAUACGAAGGUCCCAAGCGUUGUUCGGAAUCACUGGGCGUAAAGCGUGUGUAGGCUGCGCGGAAAGUCAAAUGUGAAAGCCCGGGGCUCAACCUCGGAACUGCAUUCGAUACUCCCGUGCUAGAGUAAUGGAGAGGUAAGUGGAAUUCCUGGUGUAGCAGUGAAAUGCGUGGAUAUCAGGAGGAACAUCAAUGGCGAAGGCAACUUACUGGACAUUUACUGACGCUCAGACACGAAGGCUAGGGUAGCGAAAGGGAUUAGAUACCCCUGUAGUCCUAGCAGUAAACGGUGCUCGCUUGGUGUGGGAGGAUUCGACCCCUUCUGUGCCGGAGCUAACGCGUUAAGCGAGCCGCCUGGGAAGUACGGUCGCAAGACUAAAACUCAAAGAAAUUGACGGGGACCCGCACAAGCGGUGGAGUAUGUGGCUUAAUUCGAUGCAACGCGAAGAACCUUACCUAGGCUUGACAUGUAUUGCUAAGCACGCGAAAGCGUGUGACCCUUCGGGGACCUUACACAGGUGCUGCAUGGCCGUCGUCAGCUCGUGUCGUGAGAUGUUUGGUUAAGUCCAGCAACGAGCGCAACCCCUGUGAAUAGUUGCCAGCACGUAAUGGUGGGGACUCUAUUCAGACUGCCCAGGUCAACUGGGAGGAAGGUGGGGAUGACGUCAGGUCAGUAUGGCCCUUACGCCUAGGGCUGCACACGUACUACAAUGCCCAGUACAAUGAGAACCGAGACCGCGAGGUGGAGGAAAUCUGCAAAACUGGGCCCAGUUCGGAUUGGAGGCUGCAACUCGCCUCCAUGAAGUUGGAAUCGCUAGUAAUGGCACAUCAGCUACGGUGCCGUGAAUACGUUCCCGGGUCUUGUACACACCGCCCGUCACAUCAUGGAAGCCGAUCGCACCCGAAGUAUCUGCGCUAACUAUUUAUAGAAGCAAGGUCCUAAGGUGUAGUUGGUAACUGGGAUGAAGUCGUAACAAGGUAGCCGUAGGGGAACCUGCGGCUG